AUGCAUGUUCACUGCAUAUUCAUUAUUUCAGGUACCUGUGGGGACAUUGUGAUGACCCAGUCUCCAUCCUCUCUGGCUGUGUCAGCAGGAGAGACAGUCACUAUAAACUGCAAGUCCAGUCAGAGUCUUUUUGGAAGUGUAAGACAAAAGAACUACUUGGCCUGGUACCAGCAGAAACCAGGGCAGUCUCCUAAACUGCUGAUCUACUUGGCAUCCACUAGGGAAUCUGGUGUCCCUGAUCGCUUCAUAGGCAGUGGAUCUGGGACAGACUUCACUCUGACCAUCAGCAGUGUGCAGGCAGAAGAUCUGGCAAAUUAUUACUGUCAGCAGUAUUAUGAUACUCCUCCCACAGUGCUACAGCCUCCUACACAAACCUCCUUGAGAGUUUCAACAGCUGUGUACACCAUCCACAGCCCUGGAAUGCACACUUCCCUCAUCUACCUGAGAGUUGCCAUACCUAAAAGCUGA